rnacentral:rRNA from 1 species
AACGAACGCUGGCGGCAUGCCUAACACAUGCAAGUCGAACGAGACCUUCGGGUCUAGUGGCGCACGGGUGCGUAACGCGUGGGAACCUGCCCUUAGGUUCGGAAUAACUCCCCGAAAGGGGUGCUAAUACCGGAUAAUGUCUUCGGACCAAAGAUUUAUCGCCUUUGGAUGGGCCCGCGUUGGAUUAGCUAGUUGGUAGGGUAAAAGCCUACCAAGGCGACGAUCCAUAGCUGGUCUGAGAGGAUGAUCAGCCACACUGGGACUGAGACACGGCCCAGACGCAUACGGGAGGCAGCAGUGGGGAAUAUUGGAAGAUGGGCGAAAGCCUGAUCCAGCAAUGCCGCGUGAGUGAUGAAGGCCUUAGGGUGGGAAAGCUCUUUUACCCGGGAUGAUAAUGACAGUACAGGGAGAAUAAGCACCGGCUAACUCCGUG